rnacentral:lncRNA from 1 species
CUUGACGCUCGCAGCCAUGCGCGUGAACUCGCCUGCCGGAACACCGCAUAUUUGUGCUGCCAACUGCAUCUGCAACGUGAAUCUGAAACGUGCAACGUUCUACCAAGCCGCGUUUCGAAAUAGUUCAUGAGGUGAUCACAGGGAGCAAAGAUAUCGAUAGCACAAAGAAUGUACCAAAUCCCUCCGCAGGAACAUCUCGGAGCUUGCAGGAACAGAUGCUGCAAGCUAGCUGACGCACCUGGCUCCGAGCCGCCUCUAUAGGGAAUAACCCUGAAGCCAAAAUUGCGAACAAAUGUCCGGAAUGCCGCAUGUCCAACAGUGAGCGGCUGCUUUGCGAGGAUUGCGUCAUCUCGUACAGCUGCG